rnacentral:rRNA from 1 species
CACGUAGGGGGCGAGCGUUGUCCGGAUUUAUUGGGCGUAAAGAGCUCGUAGGCGGUUUCGUAAGUCGGAUGUGAAAACUCCAGCUCAACUUGGAGACGCCAUUCGAUACUGCGAUGACUUGAGUCCGGUAGGGGAGUGUGGAAUUCCUGGUGUAGCGGUGAAAAUGCGCAGAUAUCAGGAGGAACACCGGCGGCGAAGGCGGCACUCUGGGCCGGUACUGACGCUGAGGAGCGAAAGCGUGGGUAGCAAACAGG